rnacentral:rRNA from 1 species
GACGGAGGGUGCAAACGUUGCUCGGAAUCACUGGGCGUAAAGGGCGCGUAGGCGGGAAUGUAAGUCGGGCGUGAAAUCCCCAGGCUCAACCUGGGAACUGCACUCGAAACUGCGUUUCUUGAGUAUCGGAGAGGAAAGCGGAGUUCCUGGUGUAGAGGUGAAAUUCGUAGAUAUCAGGAGGAACACCAGUGGCGAAGGCGGCUUUCUGGACGGUAACUGACGCUGAGGCGCGAAAGCGUGGGGAGCAAACAGG